rnacentral:lncRNA from 1 species
CGCCUUGAUUAAUUAUACUGAUUACUAAUCACUUAUCAGUGCACAAAACAGAUAUACAAAAAAUAAAAUGCUUCGCUGAGCGCAACCUGAUACGACCGCUGAGUUUGAACUAUGAACAGUUGGGGCAAAUUUGGACACAAUCAAGCUUGAUACUGUCUGAACAAAUAUUUUUUUUACAAAAUAUAGGUUUCUGACACAAAACAAAUGCCAAGAUCUUACAAAUGUAUUGUGCAAUACUGUGCAAUUAAAGAUUCCUUCCUGAAACUUUUC